CAAACCUAAGGACUGAAAGAGAGAGAGAGGUUAAGACGUAUACGGAACAGAAGAACAACUGAGGUCUGAUGAAAGAGAUCCUUCAUAAUCAUAGUAAUUUUGGAAAAGUACCAUGAAUACCAUGGUACUUUCUGAAGUACCAUGUAAAUACCAUGGCCGCAAUCCAGAGGAAUCUGUUCAAACGGUUCAAAACUGACCUGCUCCUCAUCUGAGCUGUGAUUUACACCGCUGUUGUGUCCGUGUCUCUGAGCGAGAGGACUGACAGUGGCCAUUACUGAACCCUAAACGAGCACACGCUGUCCCACCACACCGCAACUCCAGUGGAGAGAAGCCAGCUGAUUACAGACCAGUUGCCAUUUGUCUCUGGAAAAAAGCUGGGAAACUCUCAAUAGUUCCAGGAAAACUCUUUACAUUCUCACCAGAGGAGGGGUGUGGGGUCUAUCCCACCAUCACCCACCCUGCUUUCAUCACAUCCAGCCCCCUCAGAGGAGUCCAGAUCAGGCAGAACCAGGUCCUCAGGAGCGGAGCGUGUUAUCCGUGUAAAUAUGUCAGCUAAAAAACCCUGACACAGAUUCAGCGCCACCAUUUCCAAAGUCCCUCCCCUAUGCUGUGAUUGGCUGUCGCAGGCGGCUCAGGUGUGCUUUCAUUGGCUCGGUUUAACGUAAGGCUCCAGGUGAAAUAGCAGAGCUCCAGUCAUGCAUAAAG